CAAUAGCGUAUAUUAAAGUUGUUGCAGUUAAAAAGCUCGUAGUUGGAUUUCGGGGCAGCCUGGCUGGUCCGCCGCAAGGCGAGUACUGGUCAGCCGCCCUUCCUCUCGAAAGCCCCGACUGCUCUUUAUUGCAGUGGUCGGGUAGUUCGGGACGUUUACUUUGAAAAAAUUAGAGUGUUCAAGGCAGGCCUACGCCUGAAUACAUUAGCAUGGAAUAAUGGAAGAGGACCUCGGUCCUAUUUUGUUGGUUUCCAGGACCGAAGUAAUGAUUAAGAGGGACAGUCGGGGGCAUUCGUAUUUAAUUGUCAGAGGUGAAAUUCUCGGAUUUAUGAAAGACGAACAACUGCGAAAGCAUUUGCCAAGGAUGUUUUCAUUAA
rnacentral:rRNA from 1 species